UCCAGACUCCUACGGGAGGCAGCAGUGGGGAAUAUUGGGCAAUGGGCGCAAGCCUGACCCAGCAACGCCGCGUGAAGGAAGAAGGCUUUCGGGUUGUAAACUUUUUUUAUGAGGGACGAAACAAAUGACGGUACCUCAUGAAUAAGCCACGGCUAACUACGUGCCAGCAGCCGCGGUAAUACGUAGGUGGCAAGCGUUAUCCGGAUUUACUGGGUGUAAAGGGCGUGUAGGCGGGACUGCAAGUCAGAUGUGAAAAUUAUGGGCUCAACCCAUAACCUGCAUUUGAAACUGUAGUUCUUGAGUGAUGGAGAGGCAGGCGGAAUUCCGUGUGUAGCGGUGAAAUGCGUAGAUAUACGGAGGAACACCAGUGGCGAAGGCGGAUUGCUGGACAGUAACUGACGCUGAGGCGCGAAAGCGUGGGGAGCAAACAGGAUUAGAUACCCUCGUA
rnacentral:rRNA from 1 species